rnacentral:SRP_RNA from 1 species
CAAGGCUGUAAUGGCUUGGGGGAUAGCUCCUCAUCGUUGAAUCCACCCUUUCGGAUGGUGAAUAUGAAUGAAGCGUCGUCUGUUCAGAUCCCGCUCCCGUUGAAUUUCACUUCCUGAGUAAUCUGGAUUUGGGCACGGUUAGAUAGGCGUGACCGUCCCAGGCCGGCAACGGAGCAGGACAGCGUCUAGUGUGGAUAUGCCGAGCAGGUAGCGAGCUUGACUCGUUAUUCGGAGGGUCAACG